rnacentral:rRNA from 1 species
GAUCCUGGCUCAGGAUGAACGCUAGCUACAGGCUUAACACAUGCAAGUCGAGGGGCAGCAUUGGGGUAGCAAUACUCAGAUGGCGACCGGCGCACGGGUGAGUAACACGUAUCCAACCUGCCGCUUACUCGGGGAUAGCCUUUCGAAAGAAAGAUUAAUACCCGAUGGUAUAAAGAGUUCGCAUGUUCUCUUUAUUAAAGAAUUUCGGUAAGCGAUGGGGAUGCGUUCCAUUAGAUAGUUGGCGGGGUAACGGCCCACCAAGUCUACGAUGGAUAGGGGUUCUGAGAGGAAGGUCCCCCACAUUGGAACUGAGACACGGUCCAAACUCCUACGGGAGGCAGCAGUGAGGAAUAUUGGUCAAUGGACGAGAGUCUGAACCAGCCAAAAGUAGCGUGAAGGAUGACUGCCCUAUGGGUUGUAAACUUCUUUUAUAAGGGAAUAAAGUGAGGGACGUGUCCCUUUUUGUAUGUACCUUAUGAAUAAGGAUCGGCUAACUCCGUGCCAGCCGCCGC